CCACAACACUUAUACGGGUCUUAGGGUUAUGACCAGUAGCUCAACACUCCAUACGCCUCUGCCUCCCAUCAGCUGAACAGCGCACUGUAGAAACUAAGAUUUUGCCAAAUCAUGGGUUGCAACACAAGCCGGGGCACCACAGUGCUGGAACCUUCUGAAAUGCCAGAGGAGAGGCCGAAGACAGCAACUUCCACCAAGGAGGUGUCUACAGAGGGAACCCAUGGAACAACAGACAAAGACAAAGAUAAAAAAAUGGAGAAAUCCAGCUGAGUGCCAUAUUUACACAUCAUCACUCUUCUCAUGAUUGGCCUGUCCGGGGUGAAGGAGGGCCUGUCAGCAGGAGGAGGCGACGCUGCACUACUGUCCAUCAACCUCUGUGUCAUCUGGGCCAGCCACACACAUACACACACCAAUACACGCACUAAAGAUAAAAUUCAGCUCUUAUGUUCAUAUUCCAGAAAUUAUUUUGUGAUAAAUACGCUGAU